rnacentral:lncRNA from 1 species
GCGCGCCAAACUGUUGCGAUUUUUUCUUCGGUGUGUAAUCAGUAGAUAGUAGUCGGGUGGGAGAUGACUAAGAGUUACGCCUAUCAGUUGGUGGACUGAUGAGAUGCUGGGAGAUGGUGUGCCAUCGAAGAAGAUGCAUACAGCCAAGGCCGAGACAAAGGGCAAGGAUAGAGCUUAGAUUGAGAUAGUGUUGGGCUCUGCUCGAUGCCAAA